rnacentral:rRNA from 1 species
UAACGUGAAAGCACUCGGUGUGAGUAGAGUGGCGGACGGGUGAGUAACGCGUGGGAAUCUGCCCAGUAGUGGGGGACAACUACCGGAAACGGUAGCUAAUACCGCAUACGCCCUAUGGGGGAAAGGCUUCGGCCGCUAUUGGAUGAGCCCGCGUCAGAUUAGCUAGUUGGUAGGGUAAAGGCCUACCAAGGCAACGAUCUGUAGCUGGUCUGAGAGGACGAACAGCCACACUGGGACUGAGACACGGCCCAGACUCCUACGGGAGGCAGCAGUGGGGAAUAUUGGACAAUGGCGCAAGCCUGAUCCAGCCAUGCCGCGUGUGUGAAGAAGGCCUUAGGGUUGUAAAGCACUUUCAGAAGUGAAGAAAGGCGUUGGGUGAAUAAUCUGACGUUUUGACGUUAGCUUCAGAAGAAGCACCGGCUAACUCCGUGCCAGCAGCCGCGGUAAUACGGAGGGUGCGAACGUUAAUCGGAAUUACUGGGCGUAAAGCGCGCGUAGGCGGCUUGUUAAGUCAGAUGUGAAAGCCCCGGGCUCAAACUGGGAAUUUGCAUUGAAACUGGCAGGCUAGAAGUGCAGUAGAGGGAGGUGGAAUUCCAGGUGUUAGCGGGUGAAACAUGCGUUGAUACUCGGACGAACACCAGGGGCGAAGGGGGCCUCUGGACUGAACUGACCUUAGGGGAAAGCGUGGGAGCAACGGAAUAAUACCUGUUAUCCAGGCCGUA